GGAGCGGUAGUUCAGUUGGUUAGAAUGCCGGCCUGUCACGCCGGAGGUCGCGGGUUCGAGUCCCGUCCGGUCCGCCA
rnacentral:tRNA from 1 species